CUGGAAGCUUCUUCCUCAGUCAGCUACCCUCAGAACUGACUACAGAAGAGCAUGUUUUUCAGAGAUCUGCAAAUACUAUGAAAUUAUCUUUUCUUCUUCCUGAAAUUAUUGCUCAAAAUCAUAUGCAUUACAGUGCCUUUUCCUAAGUAAACUCACUUAUGUGGGUUGUUUUUUGUUUUUUUUUUUUUGUUUUGGAAUGCUUUUUAUUUCAAAUUUACUUUUUUGAUGUUCUAGGCUGAAGAGUGAGAAGGGCUGUUUUCAUGGCUUACUUGGAAGCUGUACAGAAUGGGAUCCUGUUGUGGCGGCUUUAUUUUAGUAACAGGUAGAGACUCCCAGUAUUGUCUGCAAGUAACUCUGUUACUUUUUAUAGCAAUGUUGUUAACUUGUCUCAUCCUGUGCUGCUACUACUCAGUGUUUUGCUUUGAUUUACAUGGGUUGGCAGUCUCUUCCUAAGUAAUAGGCAGUACAAAAUAGAACAAGAAAACCUCAUGUAACAGAAAAUUGUGUGAACUUUUCAAAUCAGAGCAGUUCAAUUUGUAAAAUAUUUUUUUAGGAUUCCAGUCAACCAUUAAGUUAUGAUAUUUCACACAAGCUGUUUCAAAGCAAUGAAUCAACAAGGUGACUGAUUUAAUUAUUAUUUUCUCUUCUUUCUUUUACUACCCAGGCGUGUGUCUCUUGUUCUGCUUCCUCAUUCCUUCAUUUCUGUCCUGUCCUAAUCCUUCAGCAUUUGUUUGAUUUGAAAAAUCUGCCUAGAAUGUUGUUGCUUCCUCAGCAGCCUUUGUAUUUGCUCCUUUCCUGCUGCUUUUUCCUCUGAGCUGCCCCAUCCCCACAGCCAUCUCUUCUGUUCUCCUGGUUCACUGGAGCACAUUGUCCUCCAGUCAUGGCUGGGUGUUGGCUACCUGAACAUAAGCAAUGCAACCAGAAAAGAUCUGUAACAGCAAGCUGCACAUAGUUCUCAUUCUGGGAUUUCAGCAAGAGGAACUCGACUUUAGACACUUGCAUGUCUGUCUAAGUCUGUCCACUUACUAGAAAUACACAGAUUAAAAAAAAAAAAAAAAAAAAAAAAAAAAAAAAAAAAAAAAAAAAAAAAAAAAAAAAAAAAAAAAAAAAAAAGUAAAAUUAAAAGUAAAAGAAAGAUAAAAAGAUAAAAAGAUUCAGUUGUUUUGGGGGAUUCUGUGUAGUCUAGGUACAGCUUCACAAACCUAGAGGGUUGAGAGAGAACUACUGACAGUUAAUAUAUUCAUUACCUCCUGAAGGAGAAAAUGACAGCAUUGAAGGCCAUUCCUUUAGGUAAAUUCCAGAACAAGCCAGGGAAGAAUACAGUUUCAAAUCCUGCCCACCAAAUGUAAAGUUGAUCCGGCCAAGACGUACCACAGCCUGGAACAGUCAGUUUCCCCAAGUUGUAGCUUCUUCUGUAGUCUCUUUGCUCUAUAGCCGGUACAUUCAACAUCCAUUUCUCUUCUGUCUUGGCCAGGAAAAUCUCCAGAAGUCUUUAGGACUGACUGCUGCUUAUCCUAAAUCCUUGCAGUUCAUGGUGCUGGAUGUUGCUGCAAGUGCAGAGAAUGAGCAGGACACUGUGUGGAUAAAUACAUGUGCGUUGACAGGCUUCAGCAACUGCUGCUCUCAGGGGUCUCAUGGAGAGACAUGCUUACAUCAUGGCCCAGACCAAUGUGAAGAGCAGCUCAUUUCCACGUAUCACUUGAUUUUAUCCACGAAGUCUGGUAGCACUUGGCUAGCAACAGUCUCAGCACAGAUCCAGGCCACUGUCAGUGACUGAGUAACACACACACCCACGCAGCCACACAUGCAGCGGUAGCUGCAUGGAUCAGCAGCAUCCCAGAGGAGGUGCCUGAACGAGGAGCAGGUGGCUACAGAAAACCUACUGGAAAGAAGCAGCCUUGGGAAACAAAAUAAAAAACCCCACCAGUAAACUUGGAAGAGUAAAGCAACAUGAUAAAAAAAUACUACAGAGAUGAAGAUGAGUAACUGCCAAAGCUAAUAUAAGUCCCUUUUAACACAGCCAGCAACCACAGAUUUAACUUCAAUGAAGAGGUGGAACACAGGACUUUGGUUCUCCAGGGAAAGAUGGAAGGCAUCUCAACCACCUUCCCACAGUUCACACAUUUCAGCACUUGGCACAAAAGAGGGAUUUACACAUGAAAAAUCUCCCUGGUCCUACUUACUUACUCACUGUGCUACUCACAAAAGAGGAAGACCUGCAAUGUUCAGUCACAGACCUUGAUGCACACAAUCCAAACAUUUAUUAUUAGUUGCCUUGAGGCAGCAUAUGAUUUCUUUCUAAUACACAAGUCCUUAGAGCUCCUCUGCUAUUGGAUAAAAGAACGAAGACAAAUACUAAAUGAAGAAAAUUAGCUUUAUUUAUGUGAAUUAAAAAAAAGAAUUGUUGGAACUUUGGUCAAAUUGUUAAUUCUGUACAAUUUACAAUUACAUUUAUAUACAAAACUUCUAAUAAAAUACAGUACAUCACACUC